rnacentral:rRNA from 1 species
UGGGGAAUUUUCCGCAAUGGGCGAAAGCCUGACGGAGCAAUGCCGCGUGAGGGAGGAAGGCCUUUGGGUUGUAAACUUCUUUUCUCAGGGAAGAAGAUUUGACGGUACCUGAGGAAUAAGCAUCGGCUAACUCCGUGCCAGCAGCCGCGGUAAUACGGAGGAUGCAAGCGUUAUCCGGAAUUAUUGGGCGUAAAGCGUCCGCAGGUGGUUUUUCAAGUCUCCUGUCAAAGACCGGAGCUCAACCCCGGAAAGGCAGUGGAAACUGGGAGACUAGAGUUCGGUAGGGGCAGAGGGAAUUCCCAGUGUAGCGGUGAAAUGCGU